rnacentral:rRNA from 1 species
UACAGAGGUCCCCAAGCGUUGUUCGGAUUCACUGGGCGUAAAGGGUGCGUAGGUGGCAAGGUAAGUUUGAUGUGAAAUCUCCGAGCUUAACUCGGAAAUGGCAUUGAAUACUAUCUUGCUCGAGGGUUGGAGGGGACGUGAUCUCGGUGUAGCAGUGAAAUAGCGUAGAUAUCGAGAGGAACACCAGUGGCGAAGGCGAGUCCCUCGGACAACUCCUGACACUGAGGCACGAAAGACUAGGGGA